AUAACACAUAAUUAUGCUGUAUCUCCCUUUGGCCAACAAAUCUCCAUAGUAAGAUACAGAGUUGUGAGCCAUUGACAAUAAGCCACCCACUGGACCCUUCUUUGUGAAGUAAUUGGGUUAUUCUGUGAAUGUAAUUGAUACACUGAUUCUGUGCAAGCUGGAUGCACCUAAAUGUGAAAAAAUAAAAGUUUACCUCAUUGAAUAAAAAUGCUCAACUAACUAAGUUCUGUGAGUUUCAGGAAUUUAAUCCUUCCUAAGUGUACCUGUUUGCUUUUGUGCUCAUGUGUCAUGCACCAUCCAUAGCAGUGGCAGCAUUAAAAUAUGCCUGAGGACAAAAAGGGGGGCUUGUCUUGGCUGUGACUAACAUUAUAAUCAUCCUUGGUUUACAGAUGCACACUUAACAAGCUUAUAGCACAUAAUUAAUUCUGCAAAGGCUGCUGUUUGACAGAGUGGGAUUAUGAGAAUUGCAUAUUGAUAGUGGCAGGAGAAAAUGAAUCUAUUUUCUCUGGGUAAGGUGGGGUAUUAUUGUGUUCUUUAGAAACUGGCACAUCUCAGAGGUGUUGCUCUCCAAAUGAUCUCAGGAUGGAAAGAAAUCAGUAAUUACAGAGCCAGGCAUUCAGUUCUGUCCUAAUUUUCCCACCAGUUUUUCAGUGCUUCAGCUGCCUCAGAGACUUAAAGUAUUCUCAUUAGGUAGCAGCAGAGGCAGCCGCAGCACUGACUCCCUCAUUCUCUCACUCGCUUUUCUUUCUUCCCCUUUCCAUUCCUGCCUUGGGAGUGACUGUGAAGAUCAUUUGCUGGAAUGAUUGGCAGGUUAGAGGAUUCGAUCAGAUGAGUUCCUCUUAGUGCAGGUCAAAAAGGCUAGUUAGCAGGAGCUGUCGAAAAAUGCCAGCAGCAUUCGAAAUGGGAAAUGUCAUGACUUCCAGGCAGGGGGUGCCACCUGGAACAGAAAGCCCUCAGCUCAUUAGCUAGUUACAGGAUGCAGGCUUAACUUGAGGGAGCGAGGAAGGAAAGAUAAUACCCAAUAGGGACAAUGAUUGUGAAGUGGAAUUGAUUUCAUGUAUAAUUUGUUUAUCACUAGAGGGGACAAAUGCUGUCCUUCUGACAUGAGCAGAGCAGUGUGGACUAUGAAUGAAGCAACUUAGCAUAAUCUGCUGGUCCAGCUUCGGAUUUAAAGAAUGCAAACUUCUUUCUUCUUAACUGUGAAAAUGAUCAGGCCAUGUUACGUUAAUUAAAGCUGACAUAUUCUAAAAUGUUUUAUCUGUGCAAUUGUGGCGACUCCACAGACACAGAUAGACAACUUUGGAAGAGUGAGGUGUGUGGAAGACGAGCUUAGCUGCAGACUGAAUCCUAAGAGGACUGGUGUGUUUAUACUCUCUGCUUAGUAACGCUACACAAAUCCAACCAGGCUUCUCGAUUUACACGCUGUUUUGUUGGUACAGGAGACCCAAUGCCUUCUGAGAUAUUUACGUCUGGCCUGCAUUAAAAUAGAGAGGAUUAAGUUGUCAUCAUUCUGGGAAGAAAAAGAAGAAGAAAUAAUAAAAAAAAUAAAAAACACUAAUGAAGUGGCCAGCAGUGCGGGGCUCCUGGAUCAGUUCCCUUCUGCCCCCUGUGGUGGAUUUCACUUACAAGAAAAUUGAAGCUGGCAAGACCCUGUUUUCUCUGCAAUUUAUUUAAAACCUUGCACGCAUUUGGAUACCUUGUGAUUUCCAAGAGCUAUGUGAAGAUUAAGCUUUGCUUACUGAUACAUGGCAUGUAUUCUUUUCAGUCUUUUGUGUUUGAUUCUGUUUGACUUCCCUCUGCUGCACAGUGUCUCUGUGAAGGUUUUUAUGCUUUCACCAGCCAUGUCUUAAAUACAUUAAGACAACACAUUUGGUGUUCACACUUCCUCAGUAAUGUCUGCACUUGAAAGCCACACAGUGGCAUGAAACAAUGUGUGUUUUCUUUGAGAACAGAGUACAUUCUGUAGCCACCAAGAAGGACAUUCUUACUGCUAAAACAAACCCCGUGUUUUCUGACUGACUAGACUGCAUGGUCCCAGACAGUGGGCCCAACCUGUUGCUUACCUUUGAGGACGUUUGGAAAUGUGGGGUUUUCUUUUUAUUGGAAAUGUCCCCACAUUUAUAGGAAACCAGAAUCUGCUUAUCAUUUUCAAUAGCCUGGCUGUUUCUGAGCAGGUUGUGGGUAGAGAAACAAGCACCAAGAACAAAGACAAAGAUGAAGGCUAACUUUUUUUUUUAACCUAUAGAAAACAAGGCAACUUUUUACAUGUGUUCUGAGUCUUGUCUACAUCUUAUUUUUUCCACCAGCUCUGUUAUGCUCCGUGUUUUUUUAACUGGAGAAAAUAGUAAGGAAUAUCUUUCUUAAAACUUGGGUGCAAAUUAAAAAGAAAAAGUCUGUCUGUCAAGGGUUAGUCUUGGAAGCCAUCUUGGCCGAUUAACGCUUAAAAAGCAAAUUUAAAAAUUAUCUAGAGUUAAAAAUUUGCUCACUUACAACAAAGCACCUUUGAAUUAGAUUGCUCAGAAACAUUCCAAGCCGUUCCGAAGUCAUCACUGGGUGCCAGACUUUCAACCAGUCUCCUGCAAUAACUGUUCAAAUUCAGUUCUUAAAAAGCAAUGUGGGAAUUUUGCUUUAAAAUAGAAAUGGCAAAAGAGAACUGGCUUCCCUUUUUUUGAAGGAGCUUGGGAACCUUGGAAGAUGAAGGCAGGUCUGAGUUACUGGGAGAGAGGACUCUAGCAUACAUUGCACCUUGAUCUGUGGGGAGCUACCUAGUGCUGGCCUCUUCCACAGGUAGCCUCACUAUAGAGCCCCAGUAAAGCCGGGUGCAAGGGGCAGUUAGGAAACUUCACAUAAAGCAUGCCUCUUGCACUUCCUGACACAAAUCCCCAUGGAAACGCAUCUGUGCCCAUUGUUCUAUGUUUUACUACUCCAGAGAAAAGAGGAGAAACUAUGAGCUUGAAAUGUGUCACACAGUUUUAGGAUCAAGACAAGGAAUUGUGAUGCAGUUUGACAAGGGCUUUCUGAUUCUCAAAUGAGAAAUAGGCUUCUUUGUAGUCAAACCCAGUGUGUCCCUGGAAGCAGAGCCAGGUUCCUAGAUUUCAAAGGCAUUGCCUCUGAGUCAUAGGCAUAACCCACCCCCUUGUCUAUCCAGAGGGAGCAGUAACUGCAAUCUUGCAGAUGCUAAGCAAGGAAUUGCUUCCUGAAUGGGUUGAAAGAAGGCAAAAGUGUCACGCAAGUUGACAGUGUUUACUGUUAGCUGCCUGGGAAUGAUUCUCAGUCCCCUUUCAUAAUUCCUUCCAUGGGAAGUCUUUACAGGUAUUUUGAGUUAAAGUAUAAUUAAAUUGGGAGUUCUUUAAGUGGGGAGAAAACCUUAUGUGUAAUUAAAAAAACAGCCUCCCCUGUGAUUUGCUUAGAAUCCUCCAUUCAUCUGGGGAGGGGAGCCCAUCAUGUGUAUAUUUCACUAAGUAUAAGUCAGGAGCUCCAUGCUAAUGUUGAAAGGUUUCAAGUAAGAAUGUAAAGACAACCAGAGAUCCGUGCCCUUGUCUAGACAGCUUCUGGGAAGUGAGACACAGCACUGCUCAGUGUGAGGUCUGCCUCAAGUCAGGCACACCUCUCUGGUUAGAAGGGUUUCAGUUUCCGGUCCUUGUCAUCAAGGAAGGAAAUCCAAAGUGUCUGCCCAACUCCAGCCUAGCACAGUCAUAUUCCCCCUCCCCUACUUUCCUCUCCCACCCUCUCUGAGGGUAUUGUGAAAAUUGGUAGAGACUGUGUUCAUUAACAUGUUACUAUACUAUCGAAAAAGCACUGGAAUGCUUGGCGAGAUUAUUUUUCUAUGAAGGAAUAGCUUGAGUUUGGACAGCUGGUAAGAAUAGCAUGAACACCUUGGCAUGGUGAUUGUAUCAACUCAGCCUCACUACACACAGUAUUUGGAAAGGUAGUAGGGGACUUAAUUUUCAUCUUCUUAAGGGGAACAGUUUAAUUAGUUAAGAAAUACAAGAUACACAGGAUGCAAAAAUGUGUUUGCUGUACUAGGCAAAAAAUUAGAGGUGUAAGGCAGGGCCAGCUGUCUACCCACCAUGCAAGGAUGAGAAUUCAUUUCUAGCUCUCAAGUGACUAGAAAAGUUUCCAAGGGAGCCUGUGGGAAUGUAGGAAAACCAGUACCUCGUGGUACCCUUUCCUCUGUGUGCAUACGACACCACUGUAAUCAGUACCCUGUGUAUGUGUCCAUGGCAGACACCCAUCUGUGAAUAUUACUGGUUUGUAAUCUUCUGUUAUAUAAGAGGAUGUCUAGGUUGUACAUACCAGGGUAGAUUGUUGCCUGCCCCUAUACAUAGAAAUAUGCUGCAUAAUUGUGUAUAACUUCCUUCUCUGUUCCUGGCUUGUACACAGAGGAAACUAUUAGUCUUCUGUUUCCUCAUAUACCAAGCUGAAAAUUUUAAAAUCUCAAAUGAAAUAAGCAAUUUCCUAUUCUCACUGCCCCCUCUCACGGCAGCAUAUAAUAGAGGCACAUAUAAAAUCUACAUUCUUUGUUCGUGAGUGGACUUUCGGAUUUUUCUUGUUUCCUUUCAUUUCUUGCCCCCCCCCUUGUUUAUAUGAUGCACUGAGAUGUGUACUUUUUAAUGGGGUUAGUACCUCUGAGACUCAUUAUGCUUCAACAUGACACAUAGCAAGGAGAAUGGAAUACUACGUGUCGCAUAUGUGUUGCCAAUUGUAAUUUGUCUGUGUUAUGAAGGAUGUAAUGGUUUGUCAGCUGUCAUUGUUGUUUUCUGUAACAUGAUAUGGAAUAAAGUAUAGCCGAAUCUGC
ensembl:lncRNA